rnacentral:rRNA from 1 species
GAUGAACGCUGGCGGCGCGCCUAACACAUGCAAGUCGAACGAUUAAAGCACCUUCGGGUGUGUAUAAAGUGGCGAACGGCUGAGUAACACGUGGGCAACCUGCCCCUUUCAUUGGGAUAGCCACGGGAAACCGUGGAUAAUACCGAAUACUUCGAGACUUCCGCAUGGAAGACUCGAGAAAGCUCCGGCGGAGAGGGAUGGGCCCGCGGCCUGUUAGCUUGUUGGUGGGGUAACGGCCUACCAAGGCAAUGAUGGGUAGCUGGGUUGAGAGACCGACCAGCCAGAUUGGGACUGAGACACGGCCCAGACUCCUACGGGAGGCAGCAGUGGGGAAUCUUGCACAAUGGGCGAAAGCCUGAUGCAGCGACGCCGCGUGCGGGAUGAAGGCCUUCGGGUUGUAAACCGCUUUCAGCAGGGACGAGGCGAAAGUGACGGUACCUGCAGAAGGAGCCCCGGCUAACUACGUG